UGGAGACAGCAACUGUACAACAGACCUCAAUGGGCAGGAUAUGAGGAUGCAACCAUAAGCGUCAGAAUUGGCAGAAAGAGGGUGCAAUUGGGUGGCUGAGAAAGGUGAUGCUUUGGUGAAGUACAGGACCAGCUCCAGGUAUGAAGAGGCUUGAGUUUAGUGGUCCAUUGGUGGCCCCUGGAAGGCUCACCUGGUGAUGGGGGCGGUAGGCAGCAGCACUCACAGCAGUGCCCCAUAUGAUGUCAGGAGCAUUGUGGGAAAUUAAAAUGGCUGCUAAAAUUAGGCUGCUCAUGUCAGACAAAGACAAGUUAUUUUAAGGGGGGGAUGGUGGCCAGGGACCAUUAUCAGCAAUGGGGUCUGCUGGGAUGCUGUCGGGCUUCAGGGAAUCGGCUUUCUCUCCUCGUGGCAGUAGAUAAGAAGAUCAAAGAAAGGAACAUCUUACCAAUUAGAAUCUUUAAUCAUCACAGUGAGAGAACAAAGAACCCAUCUCCUAGAAAUGGCGGUGCUCCCAAUUAAGGGUCACUCCCCCUCUCCGUCCCUAUUAAUCUACGUCACUCUUGUAAACUGAGCUUGUACCCUCUGUUCUUUCUGUUCUGACACUUUCUGAGCUCUUCUCGGCUUUGGGGAAGGGUGGGGUGAAUGCUGUCCAGAGACUGUGAAUCUGUUAAUCCUCUCUCUCCUAGUGUUUCUUCUCCUAGCUGUUCCCCAUCUAGUAUUUCCCAGCUUCUGCUUUCUGAACUAUGCCCCUCUGCAAACCACUGUUCCAAAUCUAUACUGUCCUGCUGCUCCUGGGAAGAUUCAGGAUCAGGAGCAGGGGGAGGAGAUGGCUCCCACCAUUCUUCCUCAGUGCAGCCCUCCUCAGCACGGUCCCUGACACACGAUCACAGACUAGGACUUGUCAGGAGAAGCAACAGAAGCUGCAAAUCUAAAACUGAGCAGAGAAAAACAGAGCUCAUAUGAAAGUGUGGGAGGUUUCCAAAUUAUUUGGGGGAGGCACAAUCUCCAGUUGAAGAAGGGCUUACACCGUUCCAUUUGGUGAUGGAAUUAAGCAGACAGAGGAGAGUUCAGAUGAGUGAAAUGUCGCCACAACUCUAAUCAAAGAAAGAUGUUCAGAGCUUUCUGGGAAUGCUAAAUUACCUGGGGAAAUUAACUUAUCCACAAACACAACAUCUCUAAGGAAACCUUUGGAAUAUAAAAAUGAACGAUGCCAGGAUGAGCAAGGGGAGAAAUCAUGAAUUACUGUCAAACAACAAUGUACAAGAGCUGGUAUUAGUUUUCUGCUCCAGAUAGGCCCAUCAAAACUUCAACUGAUGUGUCACCGUCUAGGACGGGAACAGUAUGUCUACAGAAACAUGAUGCCUUCUGCCAGUGGGGUAUUCAUCUAAAUCAAUUACUGACACAGAAACAAGAUACACAUAUUGUGAAAGAGUAGAUGGGAAUCUUGUUUACUUGUGAAUGCUUUCAUCAACAUAUAUCUAAGGCCAGACUUUUCAGGUUGAAACAGACCACAAGCCCUUUAUAGCAUUGUUCAGAAAACCCCUGAAUGACUAUACCUUAAGGACUCAAAAGAAAAUCAAACUGCACAAAAGUAUUAUUUGGCUGUAAGCAAUACAUCCAGUAAAUUUAUGUUUGCCGCUGAUGUCUUUUGCAGAACUAUAAAUCUUACUUUGAAGGCAAAAGGGGGGGGGAGGCUUAUUUUGAGGGACAGAAUUAUUAGAUUUGUCAAAGCACACCUAGAAGGAAAUAAAAGAAUAAAACAAAUCAAGGUGGAAGCAGAGGAACAGAAAACAAAGCAACAGAAAAAGGCUCAUUGAGAAUGGAAAAUGAUUGGCCAUUCAGGAGUAGCCAGAAAGACCAAGAUGCCAUGUCAGAGACCACAUUUGCUUUGUUGGGGGAAACCUUCAUAUUACCCAAGCUGGUAUGCAUGUACCCAGUCUGUACAUGUAAGUUUUCCCCAACAGGACAAAUUAUUAUAAUAGAUAGAUAGAUAGAUAGAUAGAUAGAUAGAUAGAUAGAUAGAUGAUAGAUCUCUCUAUCUCGGCUGAAAUGUUUAUUUGUUACCCGUCUUUUUUUGUUUUUUAAAAAAUCAUUUUUAUUUGAUUGUACAAAUGUAAAUUUAUUGUGAUUACCAAAGGUAAAGGGACCCCUGACCGUCAGGUCCAGUCCCGGAUGACUCUGGGGUUGUGGCGCUCAUCUCGCUUUACUGGCCAAGGGAGCCGGCAUACAGCUUCCGGGUCAUGUGGCCAGCAUGACUAAGCCAGAGCAGCACACAGAAACGCUGUUCACCUUCCCACCAGAGUGGUACCUAUUUAUCUACUUGCACUUUGACGUGCUUUCAAACUGCUAGGUUGGCAGGAGCUGGGACCGAAUAACGGGAGCUCACCCCGUCGCGGGGAUUCGAACCGCCGACCCUCUGUUCGGCAAGCCCUAGGCAAUACCAAGUACAUAUCCAUAAAAAGUGAUUUCUCUGAAUCUCGAGACUUCCCCCCCAUCCCCUCCAUGGGUCCAAUUGUCAACAUUUCCAACUGCAUAUUAUUUCAUAGACUAUAUUCUGUACCUAUCUAUAUUGUCCAUAGUAUUUGUUACAUUACAAGUGAAGUUAAAAUCCUGCUAAUGUUUUCAUCUGCUUACAGUGGUCUCCUAAAUAAAUUAAAAUUCUUUCUUAAAGCUUUAGUCUUCUUGGUUUCUGAGUUUUUUGGUCAGUUUUGCCAUUUCGGCAUGGUCUAGGGACUCUUUCUUCUUUCCAUCUCUGGGCUAGUAACAUCCGUGCUGCUGUUGUCGCAUACAUAAAGAGUCUUUUUUGCUCCUUUGGGAUGUUGGUACCCACAGGUCUCAGGGCAGUUCACAAGAUAAAAUCACGAUAUCCACCACUGGCAUGUAACAGCCCUCCUAGAAGGUUACACAAGAGGGAAUAAGGCCCUCAGACUGAAAAAAUAUUUCCUGCUUUUGGUUUCUUGGACAGGUGGAAAUGAUAUACAUGGGUGAGGGGAACCUAACGCUCCCCGUCCUCACAUACCACAUUCAAUUACCCUCCCUUUUUCUCCAGGUGAGUUCUGAUAUCAGAUGAGAACCAGGAUGAGAGAAAAUUGUCUGAAGAGAUAGGGAUGUAAGGCAAAGGACCAAAAGCCAGUGGUCAAGAACCAAGAUGGCUGCCUUACCCAUGUCUACUUUGGCCCUCAGGGAAGAAGCACCCGUGUAGAAUUUCUCCAGAACCUCCAUUCGACUUCAUAACACCAGUUACUGGCAGGCAUGGAACUGCAAGGUCCGUUCACUUGCCGUAAGAGAAGGAAAUGAUAGGUACAAUUUCACCAAUAGAUAUAAAGUGUAUAUAGUAAAGUGUAUAUAGUCUUUAGCAGAAGGAUGGCUGGAUAAAUAUGUCAAGUAGAAUUAUAUUACUGUUAAGAAUUACUUCCAGGACAUUUCAGCUCAUACCUCAAGCCUUCAUCAGCUGAGGUAAAAUGAGUUGAAAUGUUCUGGAAGUAAUUGCUAGCAGCGCUGAAGAGAUAAGAGUAUAACUUCACCUGACAGGGCUAAUCUCAGCGGACGCCUCCAUUUGCCAGCCUUUAAUCCUUCCUCAGAUGAAAGGAGAGAAGACAUCUAUGGUCGCAGGCAGGAGUGCAGCUGAUAGAGAAGGCUUCUGGCUCUCCUGAAACAUCCUGAGGGAAAGUCUGGCCCAGAUUUUGGACGUCUUUGUCAGUCUUGUCAAAAGAAGAAGAAGAAAUUGCUUUCAGAACAGUUAUGUCAUGCCAACCCUGAACAUGUUGAGAUUUGUAGACUGGAAGAAUUGGGACCGCCAGAUUGUUUCCAGGAGGCAUGUUCUUUUGUCACUACACUCGAAGGCAGGGAACAGAGAAGCCCUCAACUAGAAAGGAUUGCCUCCUUCUCAUGGGGCAUGGACAACUUCCCUUGGGGUGGGCAUAGAUGCACCAGAGUUUCUGCUUCUAAAACCUGCACUGCUUCCCCAGGCAUGCUUCUUUAGGGGUUUCACAGCUCCAAGGUUGUGGAAUUUCCUCCUGUGCAACAACCUAUACAUUUGGCUGGCUGCAGGGGUGUCAACUUGAAUAAAAUAUUGGGGGGCAGGUAGGCCUCACCCUGAAUUUGAAUCCCAUUUGAAUGGCAAUACCCAUAAACUUUUUGGGGGGUCCUAUUUUCAUCAGAUAAAUGUUGGGGGGUAUGAGAUUAGGCCCUCUGGUAGACCUAGAUGCCAAUUCUGUCCCCAUAACUACUCUAGUACAGUCGUACCUUGGCUCCUGAACGCCUUGGGCGUCGAACAUUUUGGCUUCCGAACGAUUGAAAACCGAACUUCCAACAGGUGAAAAUUCUACAACUGAAAUCAAGUGAAACAUGUCCAUGGGAAAUCAGAGACACAGAGAGACAGACAGAGAGGGAGAGGGAGAAGGAGAAGGAGGGGAGAGAGAGAGAGAGAGAGAGAGAGAGCCAUGCUUACCAGGCAUUAAAAAACCCCCACAGAAGAGCUUUAUCCCAUGCUAUUAAAAUGCUAACUAAGGUUCUGUGAAAGCAAGGGAUAGGUAGCUUGCAAGACAGACUCUAGCAAUGCCAAAUACCCAUUAAGAUUAAGGGCUGCAUUAAGAUGAAAUAUGAAAAGUGCACAUCAGGUUAAUGAAAUUAUCCAACAGCUACUCUCCAUAAUGAAACACCCUACCUGCCUCUCAUCAAUCAAAGGCCACCUUUGUGCACCUCCAAGUCCUGGAAGCAGAUUCCUCUCUCUAUAGCCUUAUGCAUGAUGGAGCCGAGGGGAACUACCGAAGAAAUAUAUUGAGGUGGAAACGUAGGCCAGACAAAUAGAACCAACCAGCAGUCAUGAUGUAAACAUGGAAUGGUAAAUGAGGAAUCUUCUGCAUUAAAAAAACAAAAACAAAGAAACUGAUAAUUCUUCCCAAAGGGCAACUGAUAAUAUACUUUCUUGGGGAAUAGUUUGGCUCAGUCUGUCUAUGAUGACCAAGCACUUUUCCAAAACUCCAUAAGUGUUCAGUGUAGCCUAAAGGUAAAGGUAAAGGGAUCCCUGACCAUUAGGUCCAGUCGUGGCCGACUCUGGGGUUGCGGCCCUCGUCUCGCUUUAUUGGCCGAGGGAGCCGGCGUACAGCUUCCGGGUCAUGUGGCCAGCAUGACUAAGCCUCUUCUGGCGAACCAGAGCAGCGCACGGAAACGCCGUUUACCUUCCCACCAGAGCGGUACCUAUUUAUCUACUUGCACUUUGACGUGCUUUUGAACUGCUAGGUGGGCAGGAGCAGGGACCGAGCAAUGGGAGCUCACCCUGUCGCGGGGAUUUGAACUGCCAACCUUCUGAUCAGCAAGUCCUAGGCUCUGUGGUUUAACCCACAGUGCCUACUGAGAAGUAUAUAUGCUAGACACCACAAUGAAAACACGGGCUGCCAGAUAUUCUGAUGCUAAGACUUAGACUAGUGUCAAUUUUAUCCACCACCUUCUUUGGCUUCUGAGAUUUCACCAGACAUUGUCCGAACACUGCUCUGCAUAUCUUUCUAUCCAUAAGGGUUAGACACUUUUAAAAAACCCAUACACACCAAAAACUGUGGUUCUCAGGAAACUGAAUUCUUCAACCAAUUCUAUUGGCUGCUCAUUUUCUGCCAUCCUUACCCUUCCCACAAAUCAAGAACAUUUAAAAGAACAGUUCCACUGCCCUGACAAUGACCCUGUAAGGCAAGUUGGUGAUGACACGGGUGCUAGCCAAUUCACACAUCCUGCACAGUCCAGCUAACCACACUGUAAAAUUGCAGGAUUAUUUAUUUAUUUUUUUAAAAAGCUCUCAACAGGAGACUGAAAAAAGGCAUGUUUGUACUGGACUGUGUCUCCUUCUCUUAAAAAUUACAUCUGUUUUCACAAUUUGGUCAGAUCCCCUUUCCGCCUAAGGUCUGAAUGCAUGAUGAAAGACUUAAAUAGACCAGUGAAAAAGGAACUCUUCAGACUUAGGAAACUCUGAAUUCACAAAGUCAAAUGAGACAAGGCUGGGAUUUGCUCGAAGCUCUGUGAGUGGGUGCAACUGUCUGCCACCACCAUACAUGACCGUAUAUAAUGCGAUUACAUGGCUGCCGGAUUAGCCACAUAAUUGUCCUUUUUGAUUUUGCCGCUUUAUAAUUGUGCUCUUUAACAAGACAGGCUUUCAGAGGAAAGAAAAAGGAUUAAUCCUUCUCCUCCUUUGGGCUGAGAAAGUAACCUUCAAAAUGUGAUCUCAAAAGUAAACCAUUUCUCGGAAUAAUUCCUGAAUCGGCAGAGAAAUAAAUGCAAACUACUAGGUGCUUAAUUUUGAAAAAGGAAAUUCUCAUCUAAAUGGAAGCGGUGCCUUUUGCGCCUUAUCAAAUGCUGGAGCAGGAAGCAGAAGGGAAAGAACACAAGAAAUUGUCUAUAUGCGACUGGCAGCAGGAUUUCUGGCAGGAGACAUUCCUAGUCCUACCUAGAGAUGCCAGGAUUACAGCUGGGACCUUUUCCGUACCAAACAGAUGCUGUAAAACUGAACCACGGCCCUUCCCCACUCUCCGAAUGUUCAAUGUGACUGUUUUCUCUGUAUUAGCCCAUGCGACCCACAAUUAAAAAUCACGGCAUCCAAACCAUGGAUAUUCCUGGAAUGAGCUAUGGAAAAUAGUUUCCAUCAGCUGAGUCUUCAUGAGUUCUCUCCUGCAACGGACCUGUUGCAUUUCUCUAUUGGUUGGGAGGGGGUGGUUUUCCCUUCGCUGGCAGCCCACCUGCUUUCUAUGAUGGGGGCAGCCCAUCUCUUUUGCCAGCCUGCUCACUUGUCUGCAUGGACUUCCAUGUGAAUUCCUUGUCACUGAUGGCUCCCAGGCAAAUGCUUAAGCAUAAAGGUAAAGGUAGAGGACCCCAGUCAAAGGUAACUAUGGGGUUGCAGCGCUCAUCUCACUUUCAGGCCAAGGGAGCCGGCGUUUGUCCACAAACAGCUUUCCAGUUCAUGUGGCCAGCAUGACUAAACCGCUUCUGGCUCAACGGGACACCAUAAUGUAAACCAGAGCACACAGAAACGUUGUUUACCUUCCUGCUACAGCGGUACCUAUUUAUCUACUUGCACUGGUGUGCUUUCAAACUGCUAGGUUGUCAGGAGCUGGGACAGAGCAAUGGAAGCUCACUCCGUCACAUGGAUUCGAACCGCCGACCUUUCAAUCAGCAAGCCCAAGAGGCUCAGUGGUUUAGACCACAGAGCCACCUGCUUCCCUUAAGUAUAAGGCUGCUUUAAGGCCCACAAGGCUGAAUUCACUCCUGUGGAGUCCUGCCAAGUAAUGAAAUUCUAAGAAGUCCUUUUUAUUCCAUACAAGUGAAAUGUCCCUUUGCUAAUGUAACCAUUCUCAAAGGGUUAGCAGUGUCCGUCUACGUUGCAGAAAAAGCAACAAGAGUCUUGUGGCACCUUAAAUAGUAACAAAUGCAUUGUGGCAUAAGAUUCUGUGGACUAAGGUCCACUUCAUCAGUCCAGGAACGGGGGACCUGUACCCCCUCCCAGAUGUUAUUGGAUUCCAUCAGUUCCAACCUGUGAUCAGAGAUGAUGGGUGCUGAAACCAAACAAGGUCUGGAGAGGCACAGGUUCUCUAUUCCUGCUCUAGUCCAUGAAAUACCAUAUAUAUCAGGGUUGGGGGGCCUUUGGCUCUUCAGAUGUUGCUGCAUUUCCCAUCAGCCUCAGCAAGCAUGGCCAAAGGGAUGAUGGAAGUUGUAGUUUUGGAACAUCUGGAAGGUCAAAGGUUCCCCAUACUUGAUACGUAUCACCAGUGUCAAAGCAAUGAUUCUUCUUCAACAUCAACUUCGUUGGACUGGUCAUGUUGCUCAGAUGCCUGAUUAUCGUCUUCCAAAGCAACUACUCAACUCCAAACUUCAAAACAGUAAGCAUAAUGCUGGUGGUCAACAAAAGAGGUUCAAAGACUCUCCCAAGGCAAAUCUAAAAAAAGGUAGUAUAAACACCGACAACUGGGAGGCCCUGGCCUGUGAGAGCUCCAGUUGGAGAACAGCCUUUACCAAAUGCGUCAUGGGCUUUGAAGACGCUCAAACUCAGGAUGAAAGGGAGAAAUGCGCUAAGAGGAAGGCAUGCUUGGCAAACCCUUGCCGUGAUCAAGUCCCACCUCGAAACCUAUGUCCCCACUGUGGAAGAACGUGUGGAUCCAGAAUUGGCCUCCACAGUCACUUACUGUUAAAACCGUGUUUAUGGAAGACAAUCUUACUCAGCUACGAGUGAUUGCCAAAGGAGAAGCCAUAUCACAAUAAAUUAGUUAGGUGUCACAAGACUCUUUGCCAUACUUCCUAAUGUAUUUUUUUCUCUUAAAUUUUGUGCACAAAAUUAGGAACAAGUUAGGCUUAAGGAACUCAGAAUGUCUGAUCUAUAAUGCAGCUGCCUCGUAGUACAUGGAAGCAAUGGCCCAUUCAGCGCUGUUCCUAGAUUGAGUCACUGAUUUGGGGUCACUCCCAGCCUUAUUAUCUGAAGUCCUUUGACAGGAGAUGCCAUUGAUUUAACUUUCUGAAUGCCAAGUAUGCGCUGGACUGCUGAGCUACGGCCUCUCCCCAGCCACUUUCUCUAGAGUUGUGCCACCACCUUCAAUAAAAAAGGCAUGAAAAGCAUCCUGGGGCAGUGGGGGGGGGAUUAUAGUUUUACAAUGAGCAAAAUUCUCAAGGAAUUUUACCUAACAGGGUCUAUUUGCAUUUGAAAACCCUAAAAAGCAAUGCCCCCAAGUCCUGGAGGUUUAACUGCCCAGGCUCCCUUUUCUUAUGCAAAACUGGCUCAUAAAACAGAUGUACAUUGCAGCCAUAAAUGGAAGGCAAGGGAUUGCUAGCAAUAGGAUGUGAAAUUAAGCAGUGAGAAUGUAAAAAAAAGGGGGGGAGGAUAAAGGAUGAAGAGCCAGAUGCUGUUUCUUAUAGAGGGGUUUCAGACAAUGACUCCCAUUUUAGUGUCUCGGGGAAACUUGUAAGAAUAGUGUCCUGGGUACACAGGGCUGUUAAUCUCACAGUUCCUGAGAAUUUCUACCAAAUCCACAAGCUUCCAAAGCUUUGCCAGAGAAGCACACCAAAUACUGACCUCCAGUGCUUUUUUUCUUAAAAAAAAAAUGUUUAGGGGUACUCUCAUUUUCCUACUCAUAUUGAAAUACUGCCCCUCAAUGAGGCCAAACUUAGAUUCACAAAAUGUUUAGGGGUAUGCGUACCCUUGCAUCCCCCCAGAAAAAAGCACUGCAUGCAUGUAAACAGCAUGCUAUGAGUUUUCAGUUAAAGAAAACAAACAGUGCAAUAUCAGAGGGGGGUGGAUCUUGAAAGAUUGCAGGGGUUGCCAACAUUUUAUGCCCAUUUGAGGUUUUUCCCCUUGGAUCACUUCUCUCCCACUUUCACAAAGAGAUAAAAAGAGAGAACACACACACACACACUGCUGGAUUUACGUAUAAGCUAAACAAGCUAUAGCUUAUGGCCCCACUCUCUUGGGGCCCCCCAAAAAAUGCAAAGGGGGAAAAAGUUGGAUGUAAAUUUCCAAAAUAUAAGAUAAAAAAACAAAAACAAAAUAAAAUCUACAUACAGCAACAGUGUUGUGUAUGGAGUUAUUAGGCCCAUAAAUUACCAGAUAGCAUACAGUGGUACCUCGGGUUAAGUAUUUCAUUCGUUCCGGAGGUCCGUACUUAACCUGAAACUGUUCUUAACCUGAAGCACCACUUUAGCGAAUGGGGCUUCCUGCUGCCGCCGCGCCGCCGGAACACGAUUUCUGUUCUCAUCCUGAAGCAAAGUUCUUAACCUAAAGCACUAUUUCUGGGUUAGCGGAGUCUGUAACCCAAGGUACCACUGUAUAUUCAACACAAAAAACAGUGACAAUUUGUUGUUGACAAAGGACAGCUGGACAUAUAAAGGAUCCCAUUACCUUCAGUAGCUUAGGGCUUCAUCAAACCUAAAUCUGGCCCUACACACACACACACACACACACACUUACACUUUCCUUUUCUGAGGGAUCUAGGUAAAAGUUAGACCCAGCAGAAUUUAUCUGAGCCUUGGAAAGCAUACAGAACUGAAAGAGGAAGUGGGAAAGUGUGUCACUUUUCCAACUUCUUUCCGCUCUACUUACUUUUCAAGGGAGAAAAAGGUAACCACGUUCACUGCAUUGUGACCAAGAGGGCAGUGAGUGGAGGGGCUCAGAGGCUUCAUGGGUGUCAACAGAAGAUCUCAAGAGUGCCCCUACACCCAUGGGCACCACAUUGGCAAAUGUGGUGCUAAUGUUUAGUUACUCAACUCGUCUCGAAAGAGGAUACAGUCAGUAGAAAAAUCCACAGCUGGGCAAAAGCUUCAUUAGAACCAGCCAGAAUGUGGCAAAAUAGUGGCAUGCUUUCAAGUUCCCCAUCAGACAAAACAUUACAUGAAGCAGAAAAGAGAGGAGAGAGGAGAAAAAGGAGAAAAAAAUUAAAAAGCAUCCUUAUCCCCAUCUCCUGCUUCAUGUAACAUCUUGCUUGAUGGAUAUUUCUGCAAAAUUCAAAAGCUUGCAACUAUUUUGUGACAUUUUGGUUGGCGCCAGUAAAAUUAUUGUCCAGCUGUGGAUUUUGGAGGAUUUUCCACCCGCUUAUGGACCAACACGGCUACCUUUGCUUUUUAUGUGCCUUCACAAAGUUAUGAAGGGGGUGAAAAGCCUCUCCCAUGAGGAAAAGGUGAAACAUCUGGGGCUUUGCAAUUUUGGGAGAGGGAGUGUACAGAUUGUAGAAACAGUGAGAUUCUUCCCCAUCUCUCAAAUAUUCCCAGUAACCCAAUAAAAUCAGUUGGCAGUAGGUUAGGACAGAGGGACCAAAGAAAAUAUGUACACAUUCACUAAACACUUAAUGAACUUAUGGAACACACCACCACAAAUUGUGGAGACGGUCACAAGCUUAGAUGGUUGAAAGGGAUUAGGUAAAUUAAUGGAGAGGUAAGCCGUGAUAUUUACGGUAAAUGGAGCCUUCAUUUUCAGAGGCAGAAAACCUCUGAGCUUCAGUUGCAGACAAGGAUGAGCUGUGGCCUUCAGUCCCUACUUGGGGGUUUCCCAUAGGCUGGCCUCUGUUGGAAACAGUGUACUGGACUAGGCAGAAAUAAACAUUCCCAGCUGUCCUCGGAAAGGCAGUGUCCUGUUCUGACUCAUGCCUGGUUGCUGAGAGAUAAAUAUUAGGGGAUUGAAAGAAUGAAUCAUCAGCUGUUGCCAAACCCGGGUUACGCUAAGGCAGGGUCCUUAUCUGAGCUGCAAUCCUUGCCUCGCUUUUACAAAUUAUGCUUCAUAGUUUCUCAAAGUCAGUAUGCUGCUGUUUUUAAAGAUCCACACACAAACCCACACUGCUGCAACUGCACACUCUGUUUUUGUUUAGUCGUUUAGUCGUGUCCGACUCUUCGUGACCCCAUGGACCAGAGCACGCCAGGCACUCCUGUCUUCCACUGCCUCCCGCAGUUUGGUCAGACUCAUGUUUGUAGCUUCGAGAACACUGUCCAACCAUCUUGUUCUCUGUCAUCCCCUUCUCCUUGUGCCCUCCAUCUUUCCCAACAUCAGGGUCUUUUCCAGGGAGUCUUCUCUUCUCAUGAGGUGGCCAAAGUCUUGGAGCCUCAGCUUCACAAUCUGUCCUUCCAGUGAGCACUCAGGGCUGAUUUCCUUCAGAAUGGAUAGGUUGGAUCUUCUUGCAGUCCAUGGGACUCUCAAGAGUCUCCUCCAGCACCAUAAUUCAAAAGCAUCAAUUCUUCGGCGAUCAGCCUUCUUUAUGGUCCAGCUCUCACUUCCAUACAUCACUACUGGGAAAACCAUGGCUUUAAAUAUACGGACCUUUGUUGGCAAGGUGAUGUCUCUGCUUUUUAAGAUGCUGUCUAGGUUUGUCAUUGCUUUUCUCCCAAGAAGCAGGCAUCUUUUAAUUUUGUGACUGCUGUCACCAUCUGCAGUGAUCAUGGAGCCCAAGAAAGUAAAAUCUCUCACUGCCUCCAUUUCUUCCCCUUCUAUUUGCCAGGAGGUGAUGGGACCGGUGGCCAUGAUCUUCCUUUUUUUGAUGUUGAGCUUCAGAAGCUCAACUGCACACUCACCGGGCAAUUAUUUUACCCUCAUUUCUGAAGACGAUAGAUGCAUCAUUGAGAACCCUUGUCCAAUGGAGAGUUUAGCUCUGACUCCAGAAUAACAAGGUGAAACAGUUCCAGGAUUGACAGCUUCAGACAACGAGUAAAAGAUUUGAUUACUCUGUCACACCUUUUUUUUUUUUUUUACCUGAGUGGCAGUAUAGAAAUGUUUUUAUAAAUACAUUUAUAAACGGCUUUAAACCCAUCCAAAACACAGCCCACAAAGUUUUAAACCUGCACUGAGUUUGGAAAGAAGACAAAGUCCCAACCAGAGAUGAAUGGUUGAUGAAGAUGAUGGACUACGCUGAAAUGGCAAAAAUGACCAGGAAAAUCAGAAAUCAUGAAGAUAGAAACUUUAAUAAGGAAUGGGGGGGAAAUUAUAAGUUACUUAGGAGAAUACUGUAAACAACUAAAAAUUUUGGCAGGAUUUGAGUAACACUUGUAAUGUAUUAAAAACUAAGGUAAAAAUGGACUAUUUUAAGAAAAAUGGAGAAAUUAUAUGAUGCAGUAGAAAGUGUUUGAUAAUGGAAACCAUGGAGGUGUGGAGGGAAGUCUAAGGAUUCGGGGAAUCCUAAAUGUUGAUGAUUAUGAUUAAUGUUUGAAUUCAAAUGUACAGUGGUACCUCUGGUUGCGAACAGGAUCCAUUCUGGAGGCCUGUUCACAACAUGAAUAGAAUGCAACCCACGUCUGUGCGUGCACGGGUCAUGAUUCGCCGCUUCUGCGCAUGCAUGUGACAUCAUUUUGCGCAUCUGUGCAUGCGCGAGUAGCGAAACCCGGAAGUAACCCUUUCCGGUACUUCCAGGUUGCCACGGGAUGCAACCUGAAAAAACAUAAAGGUAAAGGUAAAGGGAUCCCUGACCAUUAGGUCCAGUUGUGGCCGACUCUGGGGCUGCGGCGCUCAUCUCGCUUUAUUGGCCGAGGGAGCCGGUGUACAGCUUCCGGGUCAUGUGGCCAGCAUGACUAAGCUGCUUCUGGUGAACCAGAGCAGCACACGGAAACGCUGUUUACCUUCCCACCAGAGCAGUACCUAUUUAUCUACUUGCACUUUGAUGUGCUUUCGAACUGCUAGGUUGGCAGGAGCAGGGACCGAAGAAUGGGAGCUCACCCCAUUGCGGGGAUUCGAACCGCCGACCAUCUGAUCAGCAAGUCCUAGGCUCUGUGGUUUAACCCACAGCACCACCCGCGUCCCUGCGCCACCCAUAUCCCUAUCAUGAAGCAAAUGCAACACAAGGUAUGACUGUAUAGUGUAAAAUUGAAUAUAUAUUUUUAAUAAAAAUAAAUAAAAAAUAAACCUGCAGUGAGUUGUGUUGUUUGAAUGUUUUUGCAUGAGGGAGCAACCUGAGAUACGAUAAUGAGUGCCUUGGUAAACCAUGGUUUGGGGCAACGUGAACUAGUAGCAGCAACCUCAAGCUUCCAUUCUCUGCUGGGAAGAUUUGAAGCUUCCAAUCCCACUUUCCCUUUUUAUUAACCAUGGCUUGCUUAAAAGCCAGAUAAGCCCUACUUAAAUAGAGACCAUUAGCACAGCAGGGAGAACUUCCUUCCCUGUUGGAUUCCAUUCAUUUUCAACUUACAGGGAAUUUUUCUAAUGUGGGAGAGCGUUCAGAAACGAUUUCUCCCAUCUGCAACCCCCUCUGCUACCUAAGAACAUAUUAUCACCACCGUCAAUAUGUAAUUUGCUAUGUCAGUCCGUGAGUUAAAUUAUUUUUCAAGUGGCUUUAAAAUAAGCAGGGCUGGAUCAUUUUCAGACAAGUCAAUGCAGUUUGGGCAUGCAACGGGAGCGAUAAGAAGCACCGAGACCUCCUGCUGCAGGAUAUGAGGUGACAGUUUGGGCGAAAGGAAUUUCUCCCCUUGGACAGUAUUGCAAAAGAAGCUAGGAGAGUUUUGCAUACCUCAGAAGUAUCCGGGACUGAACAAUGCAACAGAUUGCAUGGACCUGUUCUGAGCAAGUCUAGCACAUUCAGAUCCCACUGCGGGUAUGCGUUGGAUUUCGGGUGCGGCGAAAGCAACUCUCUCAUGGUAGUAUAGAGGUGCCACUCCUCCUUUUUAACUGGAUCUGUUCCUGUGCUUUUAAGAGAAAUGGGACAAGAGAAGCUUUUCCGUAGCCCAGAAAUGGAAGCAAGAAGAAAUUCUGAGGAAAGAAGAAUGGCAGACGAAAAUAAUGGACCCUGCAGAAUUGGACAAAAUGACAGGAAGGAUUCGAAACCUGCGGGAACAGAGAUUUACAGAAGACUGGAAGAAGUAUACAAACUAUUUGAAGAGCAAUUGUAAUCAACAAAUUGCGCUAGUAGGACUACAAGAAGUUUUGUAGGGAGAAAUAUAUGAAGUGCUACAAAGUAGAUAAAGAAUAGAGAUAUGGGUUUUGAGUUUUAAAUUUAACAGAGAAAAUAAGAAAUGUAUACUAAGAAAUUAGAUGGGGAAAUUUUCAGACUGGACUGAUGGAAGUCAAAAUAUUGAAUAAGAUGUAAAAAUAUGUUUAAUUACUAUUGGAAAUGGUAUGUUAAAAAACUUACACACACACACACACACACACACACACACACACAUAUAUAUAUAUAUAUAUAUAUAUAUAUAUAUAUAUAUAUAUAGCUUUUCCAACCAUUUAGGCCUGCACAAUUUAUGGCCCUGGAAACCAAAUUCUGCCUACCAGCUAUGCAAUGAGGCAAGCCAAGGCACAACAUUGCAUUUUUCCUUUCCAUCUAUGUUCUCAGAGUACAAGUUUACAAUCUCUUGCUCCUCAGGUUCAAUGGCUGCUAUUCCAGAAUGCAAGUUUUCAAGGCUGCAAUAUUUACAGACCAUCCAACUGUUCCUAUUUUCCAGGGAUGUACCUGAUUUAGAGAAGCCGUCCCGGUUUCUGAUUUGAUCCUGGGAUGUCCCACUUUUCCUUCGGAGUAAUGUUGCAGGGUAUGGAGUUAUCCAUCCCCCCCCCCCAAGCUGUCAGAAGGCAAUCCUGUAUAGGAAAGUUUUAAAAAUGUUUAAUGUUCUACUGUGUUUUUAUAGAUGUUAGAAGCUGCUCAGAGUGGCUGGGGCAACCCAGUAAGAUGUGUGGGGUAUAAAUAGUAAAAUUAUCCUUAUGGAAUGGGAUGGCCUAUUUUCAUUGGAGGGUAUGUAUAUAAUAAUAAUAAUGUUGGAGGGUAUGUAUAUAAUAAUAAUAAUGUUGGAGGGUAUGUAUAUAAUAAUAAUAAUGUUGGAGGGUAUGUAUAUAAUAAAUAAUAAUAAUAAUAAUAAUAAUAAUAAUAAUAAUAAUAAUAAUAAUUUAUUUAUACCCCGCCCAUCUGGCUAGGUUUCCCCAGCCACUCUGGGCGGCUUCCAACACAAUAUUAAAAUACAGUAAUGCAUCAAACAUUAAAAGCUUCUCUUAAACAGGGCUGCCUUCAGAUGUCAUCUAAAAGUCUGGUAGUUGUUGUUCUCUUUGACAUCUGGUGGGAGGGCCUUCCACAAGGCGAGUGCCACUACCGAGAAGGCCCUCUGUCUGGUUCCCUGUCACUUGGCUUCUCAUAGGGAGGGAACCACCAGAAGGCCCUUGGCGCUGGACCUCAGCGUCCUGGCAGAACGGUGGGGGUGGAGACGCUCCUUCAGAUAUACUGGACCGAGGCUAUUUAGGGCUUUAAAGGUCAGCACCAACACUUUGAAUUGUGCUUGGAAACGUAUUUAGUCAACUAACAGAGAAUACGAACCUUCUAUUAGCUGGGCAGCAGGGAUUUAUAGUGCAUGUGCUAAACACAAGAAUUUAGAUUCAGUAGGCAUACAGAGUUUUAGAUAGCAAGCACUUUCUAAAACCAUGGGUGAAAGACAGCACCUUAGAAGUGGCAUUCCUCCUCUGUCACAAAACUUGGAAUGUCUCUUCUAAGAUGGUACCAGUGUUUGCAGCAUCUAAAAAGCACCUAAGAACAAUUAAAGAACAAUAGCUUUAUUCAUAUGCAAAUUUAAAGCGUAUGUACUCAUCUAAUUUGUAGGGACACGGGUGGCACUGUGGGUUAAACCACAGAGCCUAGGACUUGCCAAUCAGAAGGUCAGCGGUUCGAAUCCCUGUGACGGGGUGAGCUCCCGUUGCUCGGUCCCUGCUCCUGCCAACCUAGCAGUUCGAAAGCACGUCAAAGUGCAAGUAGAUAAAUAGGUACCGCUCCAGCGGGAAGGUAAACGGCGUUUCUGUGCGCUGCUCUGGUUCGCCAGAAGUGGCUUAGUCAUGCUGGCCACAUGACCCAGAAGCUGUACGCCGGCUUCCUUGGCCAGUAAAGCGAGAUGAGCGCCGCAACCCCAGUUGGUCACGACUGGACCUAAUGGUCAGGGGUCCCUUUACCUUUAAAGGACCCCUGGGCGGUUAAGUCCAGUCAAAGGCGACUAUGGGGUUGUGGCGCUCCUCUUGCUUUCAGGCCAAGGGAACCAGCAUUUGUCCACAGGCAGCUUUCCAGGCAUGUUGCCAACAUGACUAAACCACUUCUGGCACAACGAGACACCAUGACAGAAACCAGAGUGCACAGAAAUGCCAUUUACCUUCCUGCUGCAGCUGUACCUAUUUAUCUACUUGCUCUGGCGUGCUUUCAAACUGCUAGAUUGGCAGGAGCUGGGACAGAACAAUGGGAGCUCACUCGGUCACAGGGAUUCGAACUGCCAACCUUCCGAUCGGCAAGCCCAAGAGGCUCUUUGGUUUAGACCACAGCGCCACCCACUCCUGUAUGGGAAAGUGGCAGCUAUCACUAAAAUUUUCUGUGGGCACAAUGGAAAGGAAAACAAAAGCAGACCUGGAGUUAUCCAUCCCAGGUGGUGAAUGGGAAGCAGUUUGACAACAAUAGCUAUUGUGUGCUACAUCGGCUCUGCUAUGAGAAACUGCUCUGAACGUCAUCUCUAUAUAAGUGCCAAAUCAUGACUGCUAAAGGUGCACCAGAUCAAUAUGACCAUCUCACCUAAGGGUUGGAGGGGAUGCAGGGAGUUAGACUCAUUGAUUCAGAAAACUACAAACAGAUGAUUUGGGUGGAUGAUCUCAGAAAUUACAACCCAGACGCUGGUUCCAGAGGCUGCUUUGGCCAUCUUGUCUACACAUAUCCUUCGGAAGAGUUCUGCAUACAGACUGGGCCAACUAUUUGCUAGCUGUGGCUCAUAGGGAGCUGGCCCAACACUGGAAAUUGCAGGAGGGUUUUAUGCUGAGAGGCUGGGUGACUAGGAUUUGGCAAAGGGAACUGCAUGAGAAGCUUGCUAGGUGUGGUAGAAUUAGCCAAGGGAUAAUAUCCCAUGAUCACUUUAUACAGUGGUGCCUCGCAAGACGAAAUUAAUCCGUUCCGCGAGUCUCUUCGUCUUGCGGUUUUUUCGUCUUGCGAAGCACGGCUAUUAGCGGCUUAGCGGCUAUUAACGGCUUAAUGGCUUAACGACUUAGCGGCUAUUAACGGCUUAACGGCUUAGCGACUUAGCGGCUUAGCGGCUAUUAACGGCUUAGCGGCUUUAAGAAAAAGGAAACAAACUCGCAAGAACUCACUAGACGUUUCGUCUUGCGAAGCAAGCCCAUAGGGAAAUUCGUCUUGCGGAACGACUCAAAAACCGGAAAACUCUUUCGUCUUGCACGUUUUUUGUCUUGCGAGGCAUUCGUCUUGCGAGGCACCACUGUAGUAGGGUUACCAGACAUCCCCGUUUUCAGGGGACAGCCCCCGGAUUUGUGAAUAAGUCCCCGGACAAAUUCCAUCCCCGGAAUGUCCCCGGAUUUCAUCUAAUGUCCCCAGGAAACGCAGCGGCGGCAGUCUCAGCAGCCCAGAGCAGUUGGCUCUGGCUGGCUUCAGGAGCUGCUCAGAAGUCCCCAUAUGAUGGUGGUGCAGGAGCUCUAAGAUGCUGCUAAGGUGGCUGCCGCCAACUUCCCUGACCCCAGCAACUAAGCUGUGAAGGGAGGCUUCAUGCUGCCUAUCAGAGCUUGUGUGGAAGCAGGAGGGGGCAAGGAUCUAUUGGUUAGGCAACGGGAAGCUUCCCAUCCCAACUGAGGGAUCCCCACCCCUCCUGCUUGCACACAAGUAGGAAUGGGAUUGGGGCUGCUCCAAUGGGAAGGGAGGCAUCGUGAUGCCUGAGCGAUCCCUGCCCCCUCCUGCUUGCACGCAAGUAGGAGCUGGGAUGGCGAUGCUCUGAAAGCCAGUGUGGCAAUGCUUCCCCACCACUGCCAUCACCGAAGAACCAACCACUCAGGGGCUGCCCAGGCUCAUGGAGAAAGGAGAUAGAAACCUCAGAGGAAGUGGAAAUGUGGUGGUUGAGGUUAAGGCGGUGGCCGCCCCUCUGCUGCUGCCAUCGCUGCAGCAUCAACAUCCCGAAUGUGUAGUAAUUAAUUAAUUAAAGUGUCCCCGGAUUCAUUGAAAAAAAAUCUGGUAACCUUAUUUUACAGAUACAUGGGUGCUUUCCAUUUGAUGCAAACACAAGGAGCCAGAUUCUGCUCUGUGAGCCAUGCAAUGACUUUAAAAAAAACCUAGGUCUUAGGGGGAAGUUAAUAAAUGUUAUCAAUGCUUGCAUGUUGAAAUAUAAUUAUAGAACAACUAUCGAUGUUCUCUACGAAGGGGAUUGCUCAUUUAUUUUUUAUGAUUCUUCUGUUAAAAAAAUUAAAUAAACACUCUUUGGUUGGGGGGGAGAGAGAGAGAGAGAAAGAAAUAACAUUUGAACAGACACAUUGAUUUGCAUGGGUCCUGGAAGGAACCGGGAAUGCAAAAUGAAGAAACAGCAUAAAUAGCCCAGAUCAUACGCUGCUGGGGAAAAAAACUUCAUUUUGACACCCUGAGAAGUUAUUAGCAACUUGGCAGGUGAGAUGUGUUUAUUCUUGGCAGUGUCAAUUUAAAUACACUCGGAGGAGCGUGGCAAUGCCUUUGCAUUUAUUUACCUCGCUUUGAAUUUACUGUCCUUUAGGUCUUUCAGUUUAAUGGCAUGUCUAAUUGGGCAAGAAAAUCAACACGAGAAAGGACUGGUGUUCUGUGUGCGCGCACUAGUGCAGAAUUCAGCUGCUUCCUGCUUUUUUUUAAAAAAAAAAGAAGGAGGAGGGAAAAAUUCAACUGGCACACAGGAGAAACCGGCAACAGAAAAUGCUUUACUGCUGUGUGACCUGGAGCUCCUCUGAUAGAGGGUUGACUCAAUUCACUCAACUGGCCAAGAACAAACCCCUUUGUAGGCAGGGUGGCUGGAACAGUGGGUGCAGAGGGACGGUGCAGGGGGGCAGAGCUGAGGGAGGAAAGAAGCCUGCAAAGAGAAGGAUGCAGCUGCAGAUGGAAAGAGGAUGGAAAAAGCCAAGCAAGCAAGCUGGUUGGGAUGGAGAGAGGCCUUCUUCUUCCCUUUAAAAAAAAUAUUUUUUAUUUGAUUUUACAAAUAAAAGUUUAUAACAACCCAAAUCCACAUAUAGAGAGAUUACUCCGAAUCUCAAAACUUCCCCCCAUUUCCUCCAUGGGUCCUAUUGUCAACAUUUACAACUGCAUAUUAUUCCAUAUUCAGCAUCUUAAAAAGCAGAGACAUCACCUUGCCAACAAAGGUCCGUAUAGUUAAAGCCAUGGUCUUCCCAGUAGUGAUGUAUGGAAGUGAGAGCUGGACCAUAAAGAAGGCUGAUCGCCGAAGAAUUGAUGCUUUUGAAUUCUGGUGCUGGAGGAGACUCUUGAGAGUCCCAUGGACUGCAAGAAGAUCCAACCUAUCCAUUCUGAAGGAAAUCAGCCCUGAGUGCUCACUGGAAGGACAGAUCGUGAAGCUGAGGCUCCAAUACUUUGGCCACGUCAUGAGAAGAGUAGACUCCCUGGAAAAGACCCUGAUGUUGGGAAAGAUGGAGGGCACAAGGAGAAGGGGAUGACAGAGGACGAGAUAGUUGGACAGUGUUCUCAAAGCUACCAGCAUGAGUUUGACCAAACCGCGGGAGGCAGUGGAAGACACGAGUGCCUGGUGUGCUCUGGUCCAUGGGGUCAUGAAGAGUUGGACACGAUUAAAUGACUAAACAACAACAACAACAUUAUUCCAUAUUCUAUAUUUUAUAUCCAUCCAUCUUAUCCAUAAUGUUUGUUACAAUACAAAUGAGAUUAAAAUCCUGCCAAUGUUUUCAUCUGCUUGCAGUGGUCUUUUAAAUAGAUUAUGAGUUUUUCUCAUCCUUUUUUAGAGUUUUGAUCCUCUUGGUUCCUGAGAUUUCAAGUCAGCUUUUCCAUUUAGGUGUAGUCCAUCAGCUUGGUUUGCCCUUCCUGUCUGGUAGGGACUCUUUCUUCUUUCCAUCUCUGAGCCAGUAGCAUCUGAGCGACUGUUGUUGCAUAUAUAGUCUUUUCUGCUGCUUUGGGAUAUUGGUAUCUAUAAUUACUAAUAAAAAAGCUUCUGAUUUUUUAACAAAAGUUGCUUGAAGCAUUUUCUUCAUUUCAUUAUACAUCAUCUCCCAGGAUGUUUUUUAUUACCUUACACAACCACCACAUAUGAUAAGAGGUAUCUUCUUUUCCCCCCCAGUAGUGAUGUAUGGAAGUGAGAGCUGGACCAUAAAGAAGGCUGAUCACCAAAGAAUUGAUGCUUUUGAAUUAUGGUGCUGGAGGAGACUCUUGAGAGUCCCAUGGACUGCAAGAAGAUCAAACCUCUCCAUUCUGAAGGAAAUCAGCCCUGAAUGCUCACUGGAAGGACAGGUCCUGAAGCUGAGACUCCAAUACUUUGGCCACCUCAUGAGAAGAGAAGACUCCCUGGAAAAGACCCUGAUGCUGGGAAAGAUGGAAGGCACAAGGAGAAAGGGACGACAGAGGACGAGAUGGUUGGAUAGUGUUCUCGAAGCUACCAGCAUGAGUUUGAUCAAACUGCGGGAGGCAGUGGAAGACAGGAGGGCCUGGCGUGCUCUGGUCUAUGGGGUCACGAAGAGUCGGACACGACUAAACGACUAAACAACAACAUAUAUCACCUGAUUAAAAGUCUGUUGGUUUUACCAGUAUUUUUUAAAAAUUAAUAUUUUAUACUGUUUCAUAGAAACAGUUAACUUUUGGAUGUGCGCUUAACUGCAAGACUGUCUCACAUAAAUAACCUUCUUGUUCAUCAAAAUCCCCAUCUGAAUGUUUUUGAAGUCUGCCUGCCAGUUUAGAUAAAGAGGCUGAGCUGUGUGUAUGUAGAAAGCUGGCAUAUUUUACACCUUGGGAGGCUGGCAGCAUUAUAGAGUUUUCAAGCCUUUUAUUGUUUCUUGUUCAGAUAGGAGGUUUUUUUUUAAAAAAGAAAAGGAAAGCUCGUGUUACUUUUUAAACAAAGAACAAGAGAGACAUUAGCCCUGAGGGCUUUCAGCGAACACCAAGCACUACAGAUCAAGGAAUGCCAAAAUGCAGGAAGAAAACAGCAUUUUUAUGGUGCGUUUUGACAGUUAUUGCUGCUGUUGGCCCACGAGGGGGGGGGAAAACUUUAGAAACAUUUAGAAACACAAUGCUAUUUAGUGAGAUUUAUAUAAAAAGAGCAGAUUCUGCUCUUUUGCGCAACCUGGGCCAACCCUGCAAGUCAUCUGUGGCCAAGACAAAAGGAAGGCUUGCUCUCAUCCAUACUCUAGUCUAGACAAACUACUUACCCAAUUGAUAGGAGUACUUAGCAGUUAAGACAGCCCUUGUGAUACACAGACCCUGCAGUAUAGUGGUGGGUAUUUGUUUCAAGACCCUCGAUUAUUUUUCCUCCUGGCAACUCCUUGCUUUGGAAUUUUGCUUGCUCCGUUCCCCCUGCCCACUGCAUGCGUCUUCAUAGCUCUCCAUGGGCUAACUCUGUUCCAAGUUUUCCAAACUUGGUAAAAAAAAGAAGAAGAUAAAGGACCCCUGGAUGGUUAAGUCCAGACAAAGGCGACUAUGGGGUUGCAGCGCUCAUCUCACUUUCAGGCCGAGGGAGCUGGCAUUUGUCCACAGACAGCUUUCUGGGUCAUGUGGCCAGCAUGACUAAACUGCUUCUGGCGCAACAAAACACCAUGAUGGAAGCCAGAGUGCAUGGAAACGCCGUUUACCUUCCUGCCACAGAGGUACCUAUUUAUCUACUUGCACUGGCGUGCUUUUGAACUGCUAGGUUUGCAGGAGCUGAGACAGAGCAAAGGGAGCUCACCCCAUCGUGGGGAUUCGAACUGCCGACCUUCUGAUCGGCAAAUCCUGACACAACAGGUUUGGCUUGGUGGCUUGUUCUCAAGGAGACAGAACAACCCAUCUCCUACUCUGCCACCCUGAGUUGUUGGUUUUGAGUGCCCUGAGUUGUUCUGCAGCUUGUAUUUGUUUGUUUGCAGCCAGAGAAUUUGUGUGGUUUCAUGGUGGAAGUGCUGGAUUAGGGCCAGGGAGACACAGCUCUGAAUACCUACUCGGCCACAAAAUGAAAACACAUCAAGCUAGACACAAAGGCAAACUGCUUAAGUAUCAUCAUCAUCAUCAUCAGGGAUGUGGGUGGCACUGUGGUCUAAACCACUGAGCCUCUUGGGCUUGCUGAUCAGAAGGUCGGCGGUUCGAAUCCCCACGACGGAGUGAGCUCCUGUUGCUCCGUCCCAGCUCCUGCCAACCUAGCAGUUUGAAAGCACACCAGUGCAAGUAGAAAAUAGGUACUGCUGUGGUGGGAAGGUAAACGGCGUUUCCGUGCGCUCUGGUUUCUGUCAUCGUGUCCCAUUGAGCCGGAAGCGGUUUAGUCAUGCUGGCCACAUGACCUGGAAAGAUGUCUGUGGACAAACGCCGCCUCCCUUGGCCUGAAAGCGAGAUGAGCGCCGCAACCCCAUAGUCGCCUUUGACUGGACUUAACCGUCCAGGGGUCCUUUCCCUUUCCCUUUUACCACCCAUAAUAGCACUUCAUAGCAGCAGCCAGCUGUGCUCCAACAGAUAUCUGGCCAAAUCACAUAUGCGAUAGUAAUGAAAAGACUUGGGAGUUUCUCCAUCACACACUUGGACCAGCCUCAGACUGCUGGAGGGAGGUUUUGCGACGGCAACCAGGGAUAGGAUUACACUUGCAGAACACAAGCUGUGUUCACAAGUUAUUUCAUAGGAGGCUCAGUGGUCUCUCCGUGUUAUUUCACCAAAGAACCCUCGCUCUCUAAAUUUAAUUAAGACUGGCAUUCUGCAUCGCUGUUUUCAUUUAACAAAGAGCUGCCAACAAAAGACCAUUGUGCAAAGAAUGAGCAUGAAAUGAUUUCGCUAUCGAAUUUCUCCUUUAUUUGGUAAAUAACAGAAAGUGCUGAACUGACUUUCUUUCCAAUUUCUUACUGGGGUGAUUAGAAAUCAAAGCAUAAGCCUUUGGGGCCACAGCUUCACGGGAAAUGUAUUUGUUUUUAAUCAUUAAGUAUUAUGAUCAGUAGUUGUUAUUUAUUUGUUUGUUUAUUGUUGUGUAGAUUUAUAUCCUCCUUUUUUUUCUUCAUAGAGCAAAAGGGAUUGUGAAUGGAGUUCGCAGCUGGUCUCUCAUCCAGGCACUGACCUGAUCCAGACCCACUGAGUUUUCAGCAAGGUGACUGCUUUCUGUGCCCAUUGGGCAUGAUCCAGGACCUCCAUACAGCUCUGUCCUGCAGUUUUGCAGUCUCAUUGUAUGGAAGGGUGCUGUCUUUGGGCUAGCAAAGGGGAAGAGAAAACUUGGCUCAUAGUACAGACAUGUGUGUGUCAGAGUCAGUAUUCCCUUCACUUCUGAGAGCCAGUGUGGUGUAGUGGUUAAGAGCACUGGACUCGUAAUCUGGUGAACCGGGUUCGAUUCCCCACUCCUCCACAUGCAGCUGCUGGGUGACCUUGGGCCAGUCACACUUCUCUGAAGUCUCUCAGCCCCACUUACCUCACAGAGUGUUUGUUGUGGGGGAGGAAGGGAAAGGAGAAUGUUAGCCGCUUUGAGACUCCUUCAGGUAGUGAUAAAGCGUGAUAUCAAAUCCAAACUCUUCUUCUGGGGGUGGCAGAACAAACCCCUCUGCUGAUCUUAACACUGAAAAAGACCUUUAAGGAUGGUAGUGAUCUUUCAGAUUUUUAAAUUUCAUUUAAGACUUUCAACACCAAUGCAUUUUGCUUCAUUGGGGCCACCUGUCCAUUUCUGUCAUAGCAAACUAGUUGUGAAUAGGCUUGACUAUUCAGAAUGAGGGCAGGGUCAUGUAUUCGGCAAAAAUAUAUCUUUCUUGUGGUGAGAUGGGAAGUGGAACCAAAUGAACAUGUUGAGGGGGGGAAGUGUGAGGAAAUUUUUGGAGAAAAUUCCAGCUCCUGCCCCUCAGCCUUCCUUUCUCAUACUUAAAAAGUUCACUGAGCAUGGAUCUAGAACAAAACCUGACCGUCAGCUGACUUGAGUGAAGUCGUUCCUCUAAAAUAAAUUGAGAAUAUUGGCAUGUAGACUGCAUAAGCAACAACAGACUAGACUUGUGGCUUCUAUUAAAUUAGACAACAGGCAGGCAGGCAGCCACAGAGUCAGACGACAUUAACAAAAGCUUUUGCUGAAUACGACACAACUGUCUAUGCCUGAACUUGACCCAUCACAGAGACACAGAACGAUCUGGCAAGGCUCCAAAUUGCCGUUACAGAGCCACACACAACGCAUGCAAAACGUCAAACAAAAUUGCACUUCAGGUAGAGUCAAAUUACCGUAAAAAAGCUGGGAAAUAACACCUUGUCAGGCAUAGAGGGGUUUCCUUUGAAAUGCUAGUAUUUGUUGUUGUCAGUGUGGGUCCUUAGGCAGCCACUGAGUGUGAACCAAGGAGGAGGGAUUAUCAAGUCCAACAAUUUCAGUUUCUUAUUUUCCCAUCUCAAGUUUACAUUUUGACAUCAGUCUGCAAUGUUUUUUUCAAGUCCUCAUGAAAUUUCAUAAGCAUUUUAGUGCAAAAUUCUGAUAUGCACAGGUUUGUUGAAAUGAUAGUAGUGAAAAUGCAGCUAAGAAGCUGAAAUCAUAUAUAUGAUUGACAUCCUUCUUUGGAAAUUAUACCAAUGUCCAGAUUGAACAUUCAUAAACUUUACUUGCAGAAACUUGUAGUUAUAGAAUAAUUAAAACAUAAUAUUUACAGUCACAUGCUUCACCAAGCAUGGGUUUAGUCUCUUCUUCUAACUUCCAAACAACUGUAUUUUCCUUUCUUUCCAGAGCUCAGCACUCACCCUUCUGUUUCUCAGUUAGGCCAUGCCGUGCAGCUCCUAUGAGAGAUUUCCACUUUUACCGUCUCCUGCAUCUUUGCUCUCUUUUUUUCAAGCAGAGGAGAAGCACUCCAACACUCUAUUCAACUUAGCAGUGUUCACAGUGGGUGAGUCUCUCCUUCGCUAGAUACCUCCCAUGUGACCAGCAUUAACUAAUCACAUGAGAAUUGCCAGAGAACUCUCUAGAAUUCAGUUAAAGGUAAAGGUAAAGGGACCCCUGACCAUUAGGUCCAGUCGUGACCGACUCUGGGGUUGUGGCGCUCAUCUCGCUUUAUUGGCCGAGGGAGCCGGCGUACAGCUUCCGGGUCAUGUGGCCAGCAUGACUAAGCCGCUUCUGGCAAACCAGAGCAGCGCACGGAAACGCCGUUUACCUUCCCACCGGAGUGGUACCUAUUUAUCUACUUGCGCUUUGACGUGCUUUCAAACUGCUAGGUUGGCAGGAUCAGGGACCGAGCAACGUGAGCUCACCCCAUCGUGGGGAUUCGAAUCACCGACCUUCUGAUCGGCAAGUCCUAGGCUCUGUGGUUUAACCCACAGCGCCACCCGCCUCCCUAGAAUUCGGUUGCCAACCAAUCAAAUUUAAAAACAUAGUGAUGCAUACAAGCAUUUACAAUGUCAGCAAAUUAAAUUGCUAUCCUUAACAAGGUUAAGAAUAAUUCCAAUGGUGGUGCUUGGCCCCAUGCCCAGGGCCAGGAUAUAUUUCAGGCUUCUCUAAGGAGUAAAUCCUACACAAAUCCAGAGUGGAGUCCAAAGGCAUUUGGAUGGCACCCUGUAUCACUCCUGUAGCCAGGCUGGUGACAAAUAUAUUUCUCUGCUUUUCUUUGGACCACAUCAGUGAGGCCAAGAGGAGGGUCUUGUCUUCUGGGCAGUCCAGGACCUCCACGCACACUGCCCAGGCUUGCGCCCCAGAGAGAAGGCACACUCAAUUGUCUCUCAUGACAGAUAGAUACCAACAAGUGCAACAGUGGCCCUUCAGAUGACAAAAAUGCAGUUGUGAUGCCCUGGGACUUGGGUUCGGACUCGGAACCAGAAGAGUCUCAGUCCGCACCAGAUCCUUUGCCUCAGGCGGCAUCUGAACCUAGUCUGGGGCCUGAUUCUGAAGAGCCCCAGUCUGCACAGGUUCCCCUACAACAAGCACCAGCUGGGCCAAGUCAGGGGCCGGAGCCUGCCCUGGCUCCAGAUGCGGGGAUUACCUCGUUGCCUUCAGCCGGGCAAUCACUUACAGCUGCUCUACCACCAGUUGGGUCAGGAGAGGCUGAGGUGGCCUCUGGGUCUAGUAACCCACCGACGUCUCCCGAGCUGCAGAGACUGAGGUCUGAGAGAAGGGGAGACCUGAGUACUCACAGGAGGAGUGCUCGCCUUUGGGCGAGACAGGGAGGUGAGUCACCGGAGGAUCAGGACCGUCCAUUACCCCGACAGAUAAAAGGCUGUCGGACCCCGCCCCAGGUUGUGGGAGCAACAUUGCUGUUUGCUAGAACCUGCCUGUGAUCCUGUGCCUGACCUUGCCUGGUUUCCUGCCUCGUGUCCUGCCUUGGCCCUGUCAGACUGACUCCUCGUGGAACCCUUGGAUUCGGGACUGGACCUGGACCGCGUUGCUUGGGUUAACCCCUGGGCCCAGCACAGCAGUAAUAUUGGGGAAGCAAUGCAGAACAACUGAAAAAAUCAGAAUUAUAUGUGGACAGUCCAGUAAAAUUCACCACUAAUGCACUCUUGUUGUGUCAAUGAUACAUUGCAGAAUACACUUGCAAAAAAACCCACCCUCCAGUCUGGAGAGGCCUUUCGUCUCUCUCUCUCUCUCUCUCUCCAUCAUACUUCAUCUUAAUAAUAAUAUCUUAGGUCUAGAGACAUCUAGAAACAUAUUGCUUCGGUGAAUCAAGAUGCAAAAACAUUUAUCGCAAUCCUUGCAAAUUGAAUUAAUACAUUUGUUGAUGCAUAACAACUCAAGGUGGACUUACUUCUUAGCAGCAGCAGAUGGACUCUGUCAGGAGGACACUUUCCAUAAUUUAUUCAGUGAAACAAAACCCAAUUCCCUUAUUCCUUCCUGUCAACAGAUGCUGACAAGGCAUUCGGCCGAGUUGGACAUACAGCCUUGGCCAACCUGGUGCCUCCCAGAUGUUUUGGACAACAAUUCCCGAAAGCCCCAGCCAGAAGAUGCUGAGUUGUUGUCCAAAACAUCUGGAGGGAACCAGAUUGGCAGAGGCUGUUGCAGCACUCCAUGUAGAAUACAAUGCUUAGAUUUUAGUAUGGUUUUUCUAUCACCAGUCUUAAAGCAAUCAAUUAUCAAUGGGUGGACAUCCCAAAGGUUUCUUUCAAAUGGGGCAGUGCUUAAGGGUACGCAGUACUAGCACCACCUUACCGUAUUUUUCGCUCCAUAAGACGCACUUUUUUCCUCCUAAAAGGUAAGGGGAAAUGUGAGUGCGUCUUAUGGCACGAAUGGCGCUGUGCAGAGAGGGAGAGCUGCAUAACGCCCGUUCAGUGAAGCGGGAGGAGGAACAGAAGGAGACUGCAAAGGAGAGGUCUGCGCAGAGAAGGAGAACUGUGCAGCGCCCCUUCAGCAACACGCCUGUCCUGGCUUCUGCCUUAGCUGCACGCAGCCGCUUCGGGCAGGGGGAGCCUUCAUCCUGCUGCCCUGAAGAGGCUUGGCGCGGUUAUCCCAGAAGCCAGAACCCUCUUGCUGUUCUGGCUUUUGGGAUUCAGAAUAUUUUUUUCUUGUUUUCCUCCUCCCAAACCUAGGUGCACCUUAUGGCCUGGUGCGUCUUAUGGAGCGAAAAAUACAGUAAUUCAUUCUGGAGGUCCGUUCUUAACCUGAAACUGUUCUUAACCUGAGGUACCACUUUAGCUAAUGGGGCUUCCCGCUGCCACCACGCAAUUUCUGUUCUCAUCCUGAAGCAAAGUUCUUAACCCGAGAUACUAUUUCUGGGUUAGCGGAGUCUGUAACCUGAGGCGUCUGUAACCUGAAGCUCUGUAACCUGAGGUACCACUGUACCAGCAGCUAUUUUUCUUUUUUUAAAAAGCACUGAAUAGGGGUACUGUAAUAAAUAUAGGGGUUGCUCGUGCGUAAGUUGCCGCCAUUCCUGGCUAGGUUGCCUUGUUAAACCUUUUCUGUCUGGACAGCCCUUCACUUCGUGGCUGCCUCAGUCACUAGCAGAAUCCGUCAGUGGGCGUUUCUUAAACCUUUUCCAGCAUAAAAGCUGUUUGACCCCAAGUCUCCUCCUACUCUCCCUGCGCGGAAGUCUUCUGCGCAGGGAGGGUGUGGGUAGCGAAGGACCCGUGCUCUCCCCGCUGGUCUCCGGCGAGGAGUCCUGGAGCCCCCUCACCGAUUCCCCCAUCUGCCCCCUUUUAUCCCUGGUGUUACGCUGAUUUCCUUCCCCAGCUGAUGAGCUGCCUCUCUCCCUGCUGGGCCCCUCUCCAGCAUCGCUUGAGAGCCUUGCCUCCGCCUCUGGCUCUGAUGUCAGUUCCCUGACAGGUACCCAUUGGGGUUUUCCUCUUCUUAGCAGUUCUGUGCACCUUAAAAGCAGACGUUGUUUUGACCAUGAGAGCUGACAACCAACUGAAAAUACAUCCCACAAAAUUGCACUUUAUGCUGAUGGUAUGAUUUUCUAUUUAUCUCAUCUUGAAAGAUCAUUACCAGCAGUUGUGUUGGGACUUAAUCAAUAUGGUGCAGUCUCUGGCCUCAAAAUAAAUCAUUUCAAGUCAGAAAAUAUUGAAUGUCACAACUCGGAUUGAGACACAGCGAUGUUUGCAACUACAAUUUGCUUUUCAACAGACAGCAAAGCCAUUGAGCUAACUAUGCAUUAACAUAAUCACUUCUGAAUCCCAACUAGGCUAGAAGAAUUAUGAUCCUUUGGGACUGUAAAGAAAGAUUUAGCUGCUUGGUCAAAUCGUCAUUUGAACUGGUAUUGUAAAACUGUUCACUAAGAACGACCACCAAAAUUUAUCUUUCGGUCUUGGGUACUUAUUGAAGGGUGGGGUUCCCUACAUAUAUAAAGAAACAAUUUUUUAGUUUGCUGGUUGCAGUUCCCCUAAAGUGAUUAGUGAAAUGAUAUGGCAAGUUGGUGAGCUCUAUAUGGGACAAACAACUUCCCAACAUAACUAGGAUAAGUUUGAUCUGUAAAAUGGGUAAAGGUGGUCUCACCUUUUCUCUCUUGGCUUGUGCAUAUUUCAUACUGGGAAUACGGGACGCAGGUGUCGCUGUGGUCUAAACCACUGAACCACUUGGGCUUGCCGAUCAGAAGGUUGGCAGUUCGAAUCCCCACAACGGGGUGAGCUUCUGUUCCUCUGUCCCAGCUCCUGCCAACCUAGCAGUUUGAAAACACGCCAGUGCGAGUAGAUAAAUAGGUACUACUGUGGCAGGAAGGGAAACUGGCUGCAUUCUAUACCAGCUGGAGUUUCCAAAAAGGGUUUUUAAAGUAUAACACAUUUCAGUAAUCUUGCCUGGAUGCGAAUGCAGCUUGUGUAAAGGAGACUAGGUCUGCUUUCUCCAAAAAGGGCUACAGCUAGAGAACCAGUCUAAGCUGGUCAAAGGCACUCCAAGUCGCCGGUGCCACCUGUACCUCCAUCGAUAGCACUGAGGCCGGGAGAUAAAAGUAAGAGGAUUUGCAGAUUUACCACCAGCAAGGCAGUUCUAGCAAACUUGAGGAAAAAUGUAAAGGGUCAUAGUUUUCAGUACUUGGAGGACUUCUGAGCCACAGCUUUCUGCAGAAGAAUCAAAAGUUUGUCUCAUCUAGUUUCCAAGCCCUUUAUUCCAUCUGAUGUGUUUGGUCCAGAACCAUUCUGUUGCCAUAAAGGGUCUUAUCUCCAGAAUUCACAUCAUUCUGUUAUGCCACAGCUUGGCACAAGCAAUGACCUACAUGCUUAAACAGGAGGUGUUUCUUCGUUUUGAGAGAAUGGAAAUGAGCAGAUGGAAAUCUAAAGGAAAUGCAAAUAAAAAUUCAUUCGUACGCACACUUUAAGGCUUGACAGGUAUUCCUUCACUUUCUGGUUAUUUGAGAUUAUAAAGAGUGAUGUAUUUAUUUAAAGCCCUAAACGGCCUCGGUCCUGUAUACCUGAAGGAGCGUCUCCACCCCCGUUGUUCAGCCCGCACACUGAGAUCCAGCGCCAAGGGCCUUCUGGCGGUUCCCUCAUUGCGAGAAGUGAGGCUACAGGGAACCAGACAGAGGGCCUUCUCAGUAGUGGCACCCGCCCUGUGGAACGCCCUUCCAGCAGAUGUCAAAGAGAUAAACAACUACCUGACAUUCAGAAGACAUCUUAAGGCAGCCCUGUUCAGGGAAGUUUUUAACGCUGUACUGUUUUUAACACUUGAUUGGGAGCCACCCAGAGUGGCUGGGGAAACUCAGCCAGAUGGGCGGGGUAUAAAUAAUAAAUUAUUAUUAUUAUUAUUAUUAUUAUUAUUAUUAUUAUUCGUGUAUUCAAUUUGUUUGCCGCCCUUUCUCAGAAGGUCACAGGGCAGUUCACAACAGAAAAAUACUAAAUGAGAUCUCAAGUUACUUGGCUGAACGAAAGCAGUCCAUUUACCACUGUGGUGGGGCAAAUAAGGCAUCGCCCCUUCCCAAGUUGUUCUUUGUUCCCCCUGCCAGGAUUCUUUUGGGGAAAUUAUAUAUUUUUUACUUGUGACACGACAAUGAAUUACAGCCUCCGCUUUUUCUUUCUUUUUUAAAGGCAGCUUGUUUUAUGAACAGGAGCAAUUUAAGAACCGGGCUCUGUGAAAAAUUCAGUGAAUAAGGCAAGGCGAAUACACGACAACAGCCUCAUCUGGAAGAGCACCCC